GUCUGAAGGAGGAGGUGCGCUUGAACGGGGUGCGAGCGGCGGACUCCCCGCUCCGCUCGGUGCCCACCGUGGCCGUCACCAAGUGCAGAGCCUCCUGGAAGGACCGCCUCACCGUGCCAACCCACUGAGUCAUGUGUGUCUGGGCCACUGAAAGCUUGUCGCCCAGGGAGAACUCCCAUGCACACCUGGGAGCCACCGCCCACCGCCGCCGGCCAGCUCUCUCUCCAGGCUCUUCUCGUCUGAACUAGGCAGAUCUCCAGUCCUCAGGCUGGAGACUCCAAACCCGAAGCCGACUGAACCUGCCGCCCAGCAGGCAGCGCGCUCACUUCCGGAGAGGCAGCCACCCAGCCCGGGUCCCCUGGCCCGGCAGCCCGGAAUGACAUCAGCCCCCUGUCUUGGCGAGGGGUGCACAGCCCAGGAAUGCAGGAGGGGCCUCGGGAGGUGGCCGCCCAGGGAGCUGGCGUCAGCCCCAGUUUUUUUUUUUUUGUUUUGUUUUUUUUUCUCCCCCUAAGUCUCAACUCGCUCGCUCGCUGUCCCUCGGGGACUUCAUGUGCCAGACUGCUUACCCACCCCAGGCAGCACCGUGCAGGAACGCGGGUGAAGAGGUGGAUUCACAUGUCGAAGGUCACACAGCAAGAGCACGACCAAGGUGCUCUUGGAAAUGGCCCCCUCCCCAUGGUUGCAAGCACGUCUGACCCCCCCCCACACCUCGCCCACUGGCAGGCCUUAAAAAAAUAUUGACUUUUCAAAAUGCCAGGCCAAAUCCAAGGUUGAAAUCCACAUCUGCCCAACCACCUGGUAUGAUCGAUGCACCGCCCCCUCACCUCUCUGUCCUGAGUCAAUAUUUGCUCUCUAGACACCAGACUUGCCAAAGUAAGUAUCUUGAAGGCCCACCCUGUGACAGACAGUGUGUGCAGGCUACCUACAGCCUCCUCUUCCUCCUCCUCAUUCCAACCCCCCAACUCCCCACCCCCGGUGGUCCAGGCAUCUCCGGUAAGAGUGAGCACCUCCUCUGGCCCAGCUCAUGGCCCUGUGCUGUGGAGGGUCAGAGGGAUGCAACACAGCUGCUGACUGAUGCCACCUGAGCCUGAUAAAUGCUCAAAGGAUCCCAUUUGCUAAAAAGGGAGACUGAGGCCCAGAGAGCUGAGGCUGUGUGUGGUGGCCUGCCUCCCAGAGGCCCCCAGGGUCCCCACUACCCCUCCCACAAUGCAUCAGGGUUGGUCCCCAAGCGCCACAGUGAGGAUGACUCUAGGGCAUGUAAGGGGCAGCCAUGGUGGAUGCUCUGGAGGAGAAACCCACAGAGAAGAGACUAGAGUUCCAGCUAGAACCCAGCACCAUGGCUGGCUACUGGACGAAGGCAGGUACCUGCCUCCGGUCAGAUCCAGAGGACAGGAACCAUGGCCAGCUUCCCGACUAGAGUCACUGGGAGACAAAAACUCACUCAGCCAAGCUGCCCUCAGUCUCCUGAUCAUAAUAUGUGCAAAGGUCCUGAGGUGAGCCAGGUUCAUAGGGAACUGUAGGGAUGAGGACAGGAUGGCUUACAAUGGAAGGAGGGCCCCUGACUGAGGUCAGGCUGUGUGCCCAGCAGGUGAGAGAGGUCAGACUGUGUGCCCAGCAGGUGAGAUGUCACCCCAGCCUGCACCUCUGCAGAUGAGGAAACAUGCCAGGGGAAGGCCAAUCCCCUUCUCCACCUGAGCCUGGCUCCUUCCCUAGCCUCCAAAGGGGGCUACACCCACAGUCACAGCCGGGGUUUCUGGGUUCUACAAGGAAUUCACAGCAAACUCCAGGCUCCGGUCACUUCAUAGACUUCCCAGGUAACCAGGGACAGACAGAAGACAGGAAAGGAUAGACAGGCCCUUCCCAAUCUGGCCCCAGAAAAGCCACCCCAGGAACAUUUCGAGAACGAGAGGGGGACCCAAGUGUGACAGGCUAUCUGGACACAGAGAUGGGGAUCAUUCUAUCCUUCGGAGGGGAGGGGGGGCCGUGAGAGGCACGAGACACAUCUAAAGUGAUCGUAGCUCCCACUGAAUGGCUUCAAGAGGGGUGCAGCACCUGUAAUAUUUCUAAGAGAAGCCAAACACCCCAGAUGAAACACUGCCCCUUUGGGAUGGAUAGACACACUGAAGCUGGGGACCAGGUUGGGAUGCACAGGUGUCAUCGGCUUUGAAAACACCUCAGAUGGGGCUGGAGAGAUGGCUCAGAGGUUAGGAGCACUAGCUGUUCUUUCAGAGGUCCUAAGUUCAGUUCCCAGCAACCACAUGGGGGCUCACAACCAUCUGUAAUGGAAUCUGCUGCCCUCUUCAGGCCUGCAGGUGAACAUGCGGGUAGAAUGUUGUAUACAUAACAAAUAAAUCUUUAUUUAAAAAAAAA